rnacentral:rRNA from 1 species
GAUCAUGGCUCAGGAUGAACGCUAGCUACAGGCUUAACACAUGCAAGUCGGGGGGCGAGCAUGGUCUUAGCUUGCUAAGACUGAUGGCGACCGGCGCACGGGUGAGUAACACGUAUCCAACCUGCCGUCUACUCUUGGACAGCCUUCUGAAAGGAAGAUUAAUACAAGAUGGCAUCAUGAGUCCGCAUGUUCACAUGAUUAAAGGUAUUCCGGUAGACGAUGGGG